rnacentral:rRNA from 1 species
GACGAACGCUGGCGGCGUGCCUAACACAUGCAAGUCGAACGGAGUGAUUUCUUCGGAGAUCACUUAGUGGCGAACGGGUGAGUAACGCGUGAGAAACCUGCCUUUCAGUGGGGGACAACAGUUGGAAACGACUGCUAAUACCGCAUAAUGUUAUUUGGGGGCAUCCCCGAAUAACCAAAGAUUUAUUGCUGAAAGAUGGUCUCGCGUCUGAUUAGCUAGUUGGUGAGGUAACGGCUCACCAAGGCGACGAUCAGUAGCCGGUCUGAGAGGAUGAACGGCCACAUUGGGACUGAGAUACGGCCCAGACUCCUACGGGAGGCAGCAGUGGGGAAUAUUGCACAAUGGGGGAAACCCUGAUGCAGCAACGCCGCGUGAAGGAUGAAGGUUUUCGGAUCGUAAACUUCUAUCAACAGGGAAGAAACAAUAGACGGUACCUGAAUAAGAAGCCCCGGCUAACUACGUG